rnacentral:rRNA from 1 species
UACGGGGGGGGCAAGCGUUGUUCGGAAUUACUGGGCGUAAAGGGCGCGUAGGCGGCCUCGUAAGUCCUGUGUGAAAUCCCCCGGCUCAACUGGGGAACUGCACAGGAAACUGCGAGGCUUGAGUUCGGGAGAGGGAAGCGGAAUUCCGGGUGUAGCGGUGAAAUGCGUAGAUAUCCGGAGGAACACCGGUGGCGAAGGCGGCUUCCUGGACCGACACUGACGCUGAGGCGCGAAAGCAUGGGGAGCGAACAGG